rnacentral:rRNA from 1 species
GGACUACCCGGGUAUCUAAUCCCAUUCGCUCCCCUGGCUUUCGUUCCUCAGCGUCAGUUACAGCCCAGUAAGUCGCCUACGCCACCGGUGUUCUUCCUGAUAUCUACGCAUUUCACCGCUACACCAGAAAUUCCACUUACCUCUACUGCACUCCAGUCUACCAGUAUCCAAUGCAGUCCCAGGGUUGAGCCCUGAUCUUUAACAUCAGACUUAAUAAACCGCCUACGAACUCUUUACGCCCAAUAAAUCCGGACAACGCUUGCAUCCUACGUCUUACCGCGGCUGCUGGCAC